rnacentral:rRNA from 2 species
GCUUAAAAAGCUCUGUUUUAAAGAAGAACAAGUAUGAGAGUAAUUGUUCAUACGUGGAGGGUAUUUAACCAGAAAGUCAGGGCNAACUACGUGCCAGCAGCCGCGGUAAUACGUAGGUGGCCAGCGUUAUCCGGAUUUAUUGGGCGUAAAGAGAGUGCCGGCGGUUUUCUAAGUUUGAUGUGAAAGCCUUCGGCUUAACCGGAGAAGUGCAUCGGAAACUGGAUAACUUGAGUGCAGAAGAGGGUAGUGGAACUCCAUGUGUAGCGGUGGAAUGCGUAGAUAUAUGGAAGAACACCAGUGGCGAAGGCGGCUACCUGGUCUGCAACUGACGCUGAGACUCGAAAGCAUGGGUAGCGAACAGGAUUAGAUACCCUGGUAGUCCAUGCCGUAAACGAUGAGUGCUAGGUGUUGGAGGGUUUCCGCCCUUCAGUGCCGGAGCUAACGCAUUAAGCACUCCGCCUGGGGAGUACGACCGCAAGGUUGAAACUCAAAGGAAUUGACGGGGGCCCGCACAAGCGGUGGAGCAUGUGGUUUAAUUCGAAGCUACGCGAAGAACCUUACCAGGUCUUGACAUCUUGCGCCAACCCUAGAGAUAGGGCGUUUCCUUCGGGAACGCAAUGACAGGUGGUGCAUGGUCGUCGUCAGCUCGUGUCGUGAGAUGUUGGGUUAAGUCCCGCAACGAGCGCAACCCUUGUUACUAGUUGCCAGCAUUAAGUUGGGCACUCUAGUGAGACUGCCGGUGACAAACCGGAGGAAGGUGGGGACGACGUCAGAUCAUCAUGCCCCUUAUGACCUGGGCUACACACGUGCUACAAUGGACGGUACAACGAGUCGCGAACUCGCGAGGGCAAGCAAAUCUCUUAAAACCGUUCUCAGUUCGGACUGCAGGCUGCAACUCGCCUGCACGAAGUCGGAAUCGCUAGUAAUCGCGGAUCAGCAUGCCGCGUUGAAUACGUUCCCGGGCCUCGUACACACCGCCCGUCACACCAUGAGAGUUUGUAACACCCAAAGUCGGUGGGGUAACCUUUUAGGAGCCAGCCGCCUAAGGUGGGACAGAUGAUUAGGGUGAAGUCGUAUC